rnacentral:rRNA from 1 species
GAUGAACGCUGGCGGCGUGCUUAACACAUGCAAGUCGAACGAUGAAGCUCAGCUUGCUGGGUGGAUUAGUGGCGAACGGGUGAGUAACACGUGAGUAACCUGCCCUUAACUCUGGGAUAAGCCUGGGAAACUAGGUCUAAUACCGGAUAGGAGCGCCUACCGCAUGGUGGGUGUUGGAAAGAUUUAUCGGUUUUGGAUGGACUCGCGGCCUAUCAGCUUGUUGGUGAGGUAAUGGCUCACCAAGGCGACGACGGGUAGCCGGCCUGAGAGGGUGACCGGCCACACUGGGACUGAGACACAGCCCAGACUCCUACGGGAGGCAGCAGUGGGGAAUAUUGCACAAUGGGCGAAAGCCUGAUGCAGCGACGCCGCGUGAGGGAUGACGGCCUUCGGGUUGUAAACCUCUUUCAGUAGGGAAGAAGCGAAAGUGACGGUACCUGCAGAAGAAGCACCGGCUAACUACGUG